AUUGAACGCUGGCGGCAGGCUUAACACAUGCAAGUCGAACGAGUGGCGGACGGGUGAGUAAUGCUUGGGAAUCUAGCUUAUGGAGGGGGAUAACUACGGGAAACUGUAGCUAAUACCGCGUACCAUAGGAUGAGCCCAAGUGGGAUUAGGUAGUUGGUGAGGUAAAGUCUCACCAAGCCGACGAUCUCUAGCGGGUCUGAGCGGAUGACCGGCCACACUGGGACUGAGACACGGCCCAGAAACCUGAGUGAGGCAGCAGGGGGGAAUAUUGCGCAAUGGGGGCGACCGGACGCAGACAUGCCGCGUGAAUGAAGAAGGCCUGCGGGUUGUAAAGUUCUUUCGGUAGCGAGGCGUUAACUACAGAAGAAGCACCGGCUAACUCCGUGCCAGCAGCCGCGGUAAUUC
rnacentral:rRNA from 1 species